rnacentral:rRNA from 1 species
UACGAAGGGGGCUAGCGUUGUUCGGAUUUACUGGGCGUAAAGCGCACGUAGGCGGAUCGUUAAGUCGGGGGUGAAAUCCUGGAGCUCAACUCCAGAACUGCCUUCGAUACUGGCGAUCUUGAGUCCGGAAGAGGUGAGUGGAACUCCUAGUGUAGAGGUGGAAUUCGUAGAUAUUAGGAAGAACACCAGUGGCGAAGGCGGCUCACUGGUCCGGUACUGACGCUGAGGUGCGAAAGCGUGGGGAGCAACAGGGAUUAAGAUACCUUGACGUCCAG